AGUGAACGCUGGCGGUAGGCCUAACACAUGCAAGUCGAACGGCAGCACAGUAAGAGCUUGCUCUUACGGGUGGCGAGUGGCGGACGGGUGAGGAAUACAUCGGAAUCUACUUUUUCGUGGGGGAUAACGUAGGGAAACUUACGCUAAUACCUCAUACGACCUACGGGUGAAAGCAGGGGAUCUUCGGACCUUGCGCGAUUGGAUGAGCCGAUGUCGGAUUAGCUAGUUGGCGGGGUAAAGGCCCACCAAGGCGACGAUCCGUAGCUGGUCUGAGAGGAUGAUCAGCCACACUGGAACUGAGACACGGUCCAGACUCCUACGGGAGGCAGCAGUGGGGAAUAUUGGACAAUGGGCGCAAGCCUGAUCCAGCCAUACCGCGUGAGUGAAGAAGGCCUUCGGGUUGUAAAGCCCUUUUGUUGGGAAAGAAAAGCAGCAGGUUAAUACCCCGCUGUUCUGACGGUACCCAAAGAAUAAGCACCGGCUAACUUCGUG
rnacentral:rRNA from 1 species